GGCUUCUGUAUCCUAAACAAGGAUGUGGUUCUGCCUCAACCCCUGUGCAGAUAGGGGAAGAUAGAAUUAGAGCAAUCUUAAAGCUGAGUCGGAGUGUUCCAGGAAGCCCAUGGGUUGGAUGUGCUAGAGAGGGUUCUGAGUGUCAUUUUAUGUAAUGGUCCAUCAGGGAAUUCAUGUUAUUUUGUCACAUAUCAAUGAACCUUUCGAUACAUUUUUAGUGACACUGGGUGGGGUUUUACUGUUGCUGCUUCUCCAGGUCAACUUCCUGCAUCAUAUGAAGGCAGAUUAAUAGCUUCCUCCACAAUGAAAGAAUCGACAGAGCAUGGUGUUAUCAUUGGCAAUCAUCCCAGGACCAUUAUGUCAGGAUGAAGAAUAUGUAUUAUAUCAUCUGAAAACGGAUUUCAGUGGUCCUCAGCUGGAGCUGGGAAGCAGAUACAAAAAUGGCUUCAACACAAGAAAAGAGUGAAAGCGACUGACUGUGGAGUUUCUAGAUAUGAGUCAGAACUGACACUGUAUGCCUACCCAGCCUGGGAUGAUGUCAGUGUGCAUACUAGACACUAUGGUGAGAGAAACCAUAUACAAUGCGGAACCUAAGCACAGAACAGGAAGACUUACAUUUCAAGACCUCCAAUUGUCAUCUUCAGAAGGUGCCCAGCAAAGCUUGCUUAGGAGUAGUGGCCUGGAGCUGCAGCCCACACUGGAGAAGUUAAUUUGCUUUUUUUUAGCCUAAUGGAGCUGCCUUUAAACUACAGUGUUAGUACCUGUGUGAGUAUACCAGCGAGUAAGCCAACACUUGAAGGGUAUCAGCAGAGGUACAGGUAUGGGACCUGUUAUCCUGAAUGCUUGGGACCUGGGUUUUUCCAGAUAAGGGGUGUUUCCAUAACUUGGAUCCCCAUGGCUUAAAUCUAAUAGAUUAUUUAAAGGUUAAUUAAACCCGAAAGGAUUGUUUUGCCUCCAAUAAGGAUCAAUUAUAUCAUAGUUAGGAUGAAGAACAAGGUACGGUUUUAUUAUUACAGAGAAAAGGAUAUAGUUUUUAAAAAUUUAGAGUUAUUUAAUGGGAAAUGGCUUUACUGUAAUUCGGAACUUUUUGGAUAACGGGUUUCCGGAUAACAGAUCCCAUACCUAUAAAAACUUACCACUGGAUCCAUAAAAUGUAUAUUCAAGAGACCUUGCCUUGUGACUUACAUAAAGGAGCAACUGCCAUUCUACGGGCUACUUUGGGACAGACUACCAAGGUACUGCAUAUAGUGUUUUGGCUUGGACUUUUUUUUUAAAAAAAUUAACACUGUAUUUGUCUAAGGCUAAAGCCACAUGGGGCUGAAUCUGCUGGCCUUAACCACUUUUGUGUCUGCACUCACAGUCACUGCAGCACGUGCAGGCCGACAAUUAUCAGUGUGGCACUAGCCAAAGUGGACAGUUUUUCUGUUAAGGAGUCAUAUUGUGCUACACAUCCAUGGAAGCACAUAUUCCAUGUGUUACUCAUUUCUUUAAAUAAAGUAUACCAUUAUGCUUUUUC